UAGGGUGCAAGCGUUAUCCGGAAUUAUUGGGCGUAAAGGGCUCGUAGGCGGUUCGUCGCGUCCGGUGUGAAAGUCCAUCGCUUAACGGUGGAUCUGCGCCGGGUACGGGCGGGCUGGAGUGCGGUAGGGGAGACUGGAAUUCCCGGUGUAACGGUGGAAUGUGUAGAUAUCGGGAAGAACACCAAUGGCGAAGGCAGGUCUCUGGGCCGUUACUGACGCUGAGGAGCGAAAGCGUGGGGAGCGAA
rnacentral:rRNA from 1 species